UUAAGAAAGCAACGAAGUCCAUUAUGGCUGGAGCGUAUGAGUAAGUAGGGCGAUAGCCCGGAUUACGAAUGCGGUCGGCAGCUGUGGGAGCGCCCAUAGGAGCCAAGUAGCUGACUUUCAUAU
rnacentral:sRNA from 1 species